GGAAACCUUANNUUGGUUCAUCGCGAAUGCCAUCUAGCAUUAUAUAGGCUAGUCGUCAGCUUGUGUCGUGAGAUGUUGGGUUAAGUCCCGCAACGAGCGCAACCCUUGCCAUUAGUUGCUACGAAAGGGCACUCUAAUGGGACUGCCGGUACAAACCGGAGGAAGGUGGGGAUGACGUCGGUCCUCAUGGCCCUUAUGGGUAGGGCUACACACGUCAUACAAUGGCCGGUACAGAGGGCUGCCAAAGCGCGAGCUGGAGCCAAUCCCAGAAAACCGGUCGUAGUCCGGAUCGCAGUCUGCAACUCGACUGCGUGAAGUCGGAAUCGCUAGUANUCGCGGAUCAGAAUGUCGCGGUGAAUACGUUCCCGGGUCUUGUACACACCGCCCGUGGGGCGGGGGCGGCGGGCCGGGCGCGGC
rnacentral:rRNA from 1 species